AUGAACGCUAGCGGCAGGCUUAAUACAUGCAAGUUGAGGGGCAGCAUGAUAUACGCGAGUAUAUUGAUGGCGACCGGCGGACGGGUGAGUAAUAGGUAGGAGACCUACCUCAUACAGGGGGAUAGCAUAGAGAAAUCUGUGGUAAUACCCCAUGAGGCUAUAUGAAUAGAGGCAUAUAAUCAAAGCAUAAGCGAUUAUGCGGUAUGAGAGGGGCCUACUGACCAUUAGCUAGUUGGUGAGGUAAGGGCUCACCAAGGCGAAGAUGGUUAGGGGUUUUGAGAGAGAGACCCCCCACAUUGGAACUGAGAGACGGUCCAGACUCCUACGGGAGGCAGCAGUAGGGAAUAUUGGGCAAUGGGCGAAAGCCUGACCCAGCCAUGCCGCGUGAAGGAAGACGGCCUUAUGGGUUGUAAACUUCUUUACUACGCGAAUAGAGGUUAGUACGAGAUACUAAUAGGAAGGUAGUGUAGUAAAAAGCACCGGCUAACUCCGUG
rnacentral:rRNA from 1 species